rnacentral:lncRNA from 1 species
CAUAAUUUUUACUUCUAAAGCUUUAACUACUGCAGUAGAUAAACUAAGAUGCAUCAGUGGGUUGACUUAUUGCUUUAUUUUUACCGCAAGAAACACAAAACCAAGAGAAUGGUAACCUUGUGGAGAAAGUUUCUUCUCACAUAAAAUGAGGUGACAAAGAGGACAAACAUCAGACUUCUUGUUUGAUGGAAGGACAAGAGGAAUGUGAACAUUGUUCCUAUGACAAAAGAUGGGCAAGCCGGGGAACCAGGAUGAAAUGCAACAAACAAACAAAUAAGAAAGACCGAGUUUUCCUGAUUCAAUCGGCCUAUUUCUUUUACUCAAGAGUCUGUGUGGAAGUGAUAGAUAAUUAUUCUUCCAAACAGUUGCUUUUCACUUCCAUGAUGCAGUGCAGCUGGGACUAG